AUAAAUAGGUUUUAGAAAAAUUUAUACAGCAAGUUGAACUGGACCUGGCUAAUUCACAAUCACUGCUGUUUGCUAACCAUGACGCAAUCAUGGGUAUAUAUUUUUAGUGCUUCGCUGCAGCCACGAAUGGACAACCUCAUAAUCUGUACCAGAGCAAGGUGGUCAGGGUUACCAAGACCCUUUCUGAUUUUUACAAGGUUUACUGGUUUAUCUAUGUAUCAUACUCUUAUUAUUAAGAAUUGGAUCAGACUUCUCACUGUCAAGGCUCCAUUUUUAUGUCAUGGCACAGCACUGAGUCAGUCUUAGUGAUGCAAGUUAUGUCGAAGCAGCUUUAGUUUUAGCAGCAGGAUUGGCAGAAUUGUGGAAACAAAAUUUAGUUGGUCAUUUGUAUGCUUCUUUCCUUUUUUGUCCUUUUUUUUUUUGUGUGGGGAGAGGAUUGUUUUUAUUGGAACUAUUCCCAUGGGAUAAUAUCCUGGGGAAGAAAGGAUCUAAAGCCAUGAGAAGACAUUGAUUAUCUAAAGAUCUGGAACCACAUGAAACUAUGAAUUCUAAAACUUUAAUUAUGUGGCCUUUGUUGGGGACUAGGAGGUUAUAAUGCUGGCAAGACAACCCCCUAAUACAUGGGGCUUGAAUAUCUGAGAUCCCAGAAUAUCUGGGAGCUAGUAUGUAGUACUUGUGGAGACUGGUAUUUUGCCAUCCAGGCUAUAGUCAAGCUAGCAGGGAACCCGCAGGACUUCCAGUCACAAGCACACAUUUUUCCAAAACCUGCUUUUUGAGGAAAUUAUAUCUAAAUGGAGUACAACUUCUAACAGAGUCUGUUAGCGUACCUCUGGUAACCAUGGGCUGAUGCUGUUGCAAAGUAUAGGUUAUCAUCACUAUAAUUACUGUUGCUGUUGGGGUGGGGCACAAAAAUAAUUCAGAUGGGGUAUAAAUCUCAAUUGCUACAUGUUUGUAAAGUGUAGAAGUGCAGCAAGUUUAGUGUACCUAGAUAUACCAUAUUCUAGGUAAAAUUUUUAUACUGCACCCAUUACUAGCAUCUACAUGUACUGUUUCAUAUCAUUAACUUUAUUUAUGCUUUUCCAUUAAGAACUUAAUCAGGUCAUAUUCAUAAUCCUCUGAAGGCCUGUCCUGGUUUUCUAUUUGCAAGUCUGUAUAAUCACCACCUUUCAAAUCAAGGAUUCAUCUGUCCACACACUAAAUAUCUCAGGGCACUGAGAAAAACAGGUCUGUUCACAGGUAGGUUGUAGAAAUGGAGGGAGUAAAGAUUGUCACUCAGAACUGAGGAAAGAAUAGGGGAAGUUUGGAAAAAGUAUAUAUAAAUGUUAAUUUUUGCUGAAUUAAUCUUGUGCUGACUUUGUGGACAUGAUGUUACUUCGUGCUAGAGCUAAGUGAAAAAUCUGAACACGUCUGAAAAGAAUCUGAGAGCAAUGCAUUGUCCUAGGAACGCUGGGAGGUUUUGCUUGGUAAAGCGCCUGUGAAAUGUUCAUUCCAUGUUAUUUUUGUUUACUGGUGUUUUAAAUGUUGACAAAAUAUGUUGAAAAGUGGAGUUUAAGAGAAUUUCUCCUUGGGCUUUCUUGUUAUGCAGUGUGAUGUCCACUAUCUUUUCUUGGUGCUGUGGUGAUAUCCUGAUUUUAAAAGAUCUUAAUCUUGAGAGCCAGGCUGGACUGCAGCAAAGUCGUAUUCUCUAUGAAUACAGUGCAGAAGGGAGCUUUGAAGAGGUGUGAUCACAGACAGCUGUCUUGGGAUGAUUUGAAAAUUCUCAUUCUGUCUUCUGGAAGACACCAGAGCAGUGUGUGAUGUAUCUCUUACAUCUCUUAACCUGCAGACCCAGAAAUACAGUCUCUCUGCUUUACAGUACUUUGAAAUGAUAGUGAAGCUUUUCGCUUUAGUGUCUCAUCUGAAACAUUUUUUUAAAGAGUUAUUGACGGGAGCUGUGACAUAAAUGAGUGACUAACUAAAAAAAUUAAUAAACCCUUGAAGCUUA